CAGCUGCCGGGUCCCAACUCGCCUGUGGUUUGCUAGCUCCGGCGAAGGGGAAAGCCCCGGGACUACAGACUCCAACAGUCAGGAAGCUGCAGCGCCGUCCUCCCCUUGUCUCUAGCCCGCAGCUAGCAGUUUCAGUGGAGUCUGGAACUGGGGAGGGGGAAAGCGGGAGCCCAAUAUUGCGCUGCAUUAGUGACAUCAGCUAGCAAGCAGUUACUGACGUUCAAGCCAAGGUUCAUUGACACUCAGCAUUAGGGAGUUAACUAGUUAUAGGCCCGUAGUAUGCUUUCUGGGAGCAAGGGGAACUACCCUGUGCUCCUUACAAUUCAGUUCUCACAUAGCCUUCGUAGGUGGCUAAACUAUUGUAUCUUUAGAGAAGUGGAAACUUAUUUUGUGCUGAGAAACCAGAAUUACUUAAUAAUGUUUUCUACCGUUGUUCCCAUAGUUUUUGCUUACUUCAAGAGUUCUGAGUGAGGCUUUUUGGCUGGAGGUGGACGGGGAUGGAGCAGAGGGGGAAUAUAACUGCCCACAAACUGGAGGACUUCCCUCCCUCUUCCAGGGUCGGACAGGAAAAUUGGCUUCGGAUCACCCUUGGCAGCAAGCCCUCCCUCAUGGAGUUCUGCACGGAUCGCUAGGUUUCCACCGACAAACUGAACACGGAGGCAACGGGGGCAGAUGGAAAUCGAGUCUUGGCUUUAUGAGCGCCUUGAAGCGCUCUCCGAUUCAAAAGCUCAUUAAAAACUGAGGGCUGGAUUUCUAUGGCGCUGGGCCUCGGCUGUAAUCCCUGAAUUGGCUUAUAUGCGUUACUCCCCCAGGGCUGACGAAUGUCUCUGCAGGAAGUCUCAGCACGGAAACCAAGGACUACAAAGACAGAAGUCUACCCUUUUACACUGGGCUGCUGUUAUUGCUUUCGGCUGCUUUGUGCUUUCCCUGGAGGGAGAGGAGAAUCAGGCAGUGAGUUUUAUUCCUCUUUACUCUUGCUGGCAAAGGAGGUGGUGGCAUUCAGGUAGCGGCAUGACUAGACCAGUAUAAGUGUGCAAGUGGAGCUCUGAUUAGUUUUGGAGUAGAGAAAAUUCCUAGUCCUCUCAGCUCCCGAGCCAAAGGACAGAGGCUGGGGAGUAGAUAGAAUGACACAAAAUACUAUUAAUAUUUCUGAGAUCUUUAACACAUAUCAGUAAAGUUUUGGAUCGCCUGGGCUUGCUUCAAAUUAGGAAUUUAAUUCAACAGGUAUUUGAGUGCUGGGCACAUUGAGGGGGACACAAUAGAAUUAUAUGAUAUGGUUUAAUCCUUCAAGGAGUUUAUAAUGAAACACAACAUGCAUAUAAAUCAUAUUUUUGUUGUUGUUGUUCAGUGGUUUUCAG
rnacentral:lncRNA from 1 species